CCUACGGGAGGCAGCAGUGAGGAAUAUUGGUCAAUGGGCGCGAGCCUGAACCAGCCAAGUCGCGUGAGGGAGGACGGCCCUACGGGUUGUAAACCUCUUUUGCCGGGGAGCAACGGGCGCCACGUGUGGCGUCACUGAGAGUACCCGGAGAAAAAGCAUCGGCUAACUCCGUGCCAGCAGCCGCGGUAAGACGGAGGAUGCGAGCGUUAUCCGGAUUUAUGGGGUUGAAAGGGGGCGUGGGCGGAUCGUUAGGUCAGUGUUAAAAUUGAGGGGCUCAACCCCUUCCCGCCAUUGAAACUGGCGUUCUUGAGUGGAAGAGAGGUAUGCGGAAUUCGUGGUGUAGCGGUGAAAUGCGUAGAUAUCAGGAGGAACACCGGUGGCGAAGGCGGCUUGCUGGACUGCAACUGACGUUGAGGCCCGAAAGUGUGGGGAGCAAACAGGAUUAGAUACCCUUGUAGUC
rnacentral:rRNA from 1 species